UGGGAACGUACCCUUCGGUUCGGAAUAACUCAGGGAAACUUGAGCUAAUACCGGAUACGCCCUUUUGGGGAAAGGUUUACUGCCGAAGGAUCGGCCCGCGUCUGAUUAGCUUGUUGGUGGGGUAACGGCCUACCAAGGCGACGAUCAGUAGCUGGUCUGAGAGGAUGAUCAGCCACACUGGGACUGAGACACGGCCCAGACUCCUACGGGAGGCAGCAGUGGGGAAUAUUGGACAAUGGGCGCAAGCCUGAUCCAGCCAUGCCGCGUGAGUGAUGAAGGCCUUAGGGUUGUAAAGCUCUUUUGUCCGGGACGAUAAUGACGGUACCGGAAGAAUAAGCCCCGGCUAACUUCGUGCCAGCAGCCGCGGUAAUACGAAGGGGGCUAGCGUUGCUCGGAAUCACUGGGCGUAAAGGGCGCGUAGGCGGCCGAUU
rnacentral:rRNA from 1 species